rnacentral:rRNA from 1 species
UACGGAGGGUGCAAGCAUUGAUCGGAAUUACUGGGCGUAAAGGGCGCGUAGGCGGCUAGGUAAGUCAGAUGUGAAAUUCCGGAGCUCAACUCCGGAGCUGCAUUUGAAACUGCUUAGCUAGAGUGUAGUUAGGGUAAACGGAAUUCCACGUGUAGCGGUGAAAUGCGUAGAUAUGUGGAAGAACACCGGUGGUGAAGACGGUUUACUGGGCUAUUUCUGACGCUGAGGCGCGAAAGCAUGGGUAGCAAACAGG